rnacentral:misc_RNA from 1 species
UAUUUGUCACGUUUAUCAGACGCGAUACGAUGUACAUUCUGUCAUACUUCGAGCGUGUGUGAAAAUAUUCAUAGACGAGGGCAUUCGUCACCCCAUCAGGGCUCCGUGAUCAUCCCAAGCUACAGGCGGUGCACAGGUGUGGAAGGUGGAUGCGAUCAGGAUGUGCACAUGCCUCUGGAGGCCAGCUACAACCCUUCUCGACAAACAUUUCAUUAAUGAUCCUUCCGCAGGUUCACCUACGGAAA